rnacentral:rRNA from 1 species
CUACGGGUUGCUCCAGUGGGGAAUAUUGCACAAUGGGCGCAAGCCUGAUGCGGCCAUGCCGCGUGUAUGAAGAAGGCCUUCGGGUUGUAAAGUACUUUCAGCGGGGAGGAAGGGAGUAAAGUUAAUACCUUUGCUCAUUGACGUUACCCGCAGAAGAAGCACCGGCUAAGUCCGUGCCAGUAGCCGCGGUAAUACGGAGGGUGCAAGCGUUAAUCGGAAUUACUGGGCGUAAAGCGCACGCAGGCGGUUUGUUAAGUCAGAUGUGAAAUCCCCGGGCUCAACCUGGGAACUGCAUCUGAUACUGGCAAGCUUGAGUCUCGUUGAGGGGGGUAGAAUUCCAGGUGUAGCGGUGAAAUGCGUAGAGAUCUGGAGGAAUACCGGUGGCGAAGGCGGCCCCCUGGACGAAGACUGACGCUCAGGUGCGAAAGCGUGGGGAGCAAACAGGAUUAGAUACCCUUGUAGUC